rnacentral:rRNA from 1 species
UUAAGCGACUAAGCGUACACGGUGGAUGCCCUGGCAGUCAGAGGCGAUGAAGGACGUGCUAAUCUGCGAUAAGCGUCGGUAAGGUGAUAUGAACCGUUAUAACCGGCGAUUUCCGAAUGGGGAAACCCAGUGUGUUUCGACACACUAUCAUUAACUGAAUCCAUAGGUUAAUGAGGCGAACCGGGGGAACUGAAACAUCUAAGUACCCCGAGGAAAAGAAAUCAACCGAGAUUCCCCCAGUAGCGGCGAGCGAACGGGGAGCAGCCCAGAGCCUGAAUCAGUGUGUGUGUUAGUGGAAGCGUCUGGAAAGGCGCGCGAUACAGGGUGACAGCCCCGUACACAAAAAUGCACAUGCUGUGAGCUCGAUGAGUAGGGCGGGACACGUGGUAUCCUGUCUGAAUAUGGGGGGACCAUCCUCCAAGGCUAAAUACUCCUGACUGACCGAUAGUGAACCAGUACCGUGAGGGAAAGGCGAAAAGAACCCCGGCGAGGGGAGUGAAAAAGAACCUGAAACCGUGUACGUACAAGCAGUGGGAGCCUCUUUAUGGGGUGACUGCGUACCUUUUGUAUAAUGGGUCAGCGACUUAUAUUCUGUAGCAAGGUUAACCGAAUAGGGGAGCCGAAGGGAAACCGAGUCUUAACUGGGCGUUAAGUUGCAGGGUAUAGACCCGAAACCCGGUGAUCUAGCCAUGGGCAGGUUGAAGGUUGGGUAACACUAACUGGAGGACCGAACCGACUAAUGUUGAAAAAUUAGCGGAUGACUUGUGGCUGGGGGUGAAAGGCCAAUCAAACCGGGAGAUAGCUGGUUCUCCCCGAAAGCUAUUUAGGUAGCGCCUCGUGAAUUCAUCUCCGGGGGUAGAGCACUGUUUCGGCAAGGGGGUCAUCCCGACUUACCAACCCGAUGCAAACUGCGAAUACCGGAGAAUGUUAUCACGGGAGACACACGGCGGGUGCUAACGUCCGUCGUGAAGAGGGAAACAACCCAGACCGCCAGCUAAGGUCCCAAAGUCAUGGUUAAGUGGGAAACGAUGUGGGAAGGCCCAGACAGCCAGGAUGUUGGCUUAGAAGCAGCCAUCAUUUAAAGAAAGCGUAAUAGCUCACUGGUCGAGUCGGCCUGCGCGGAAGAUGUAACGGGGCUAAACCAUGCACCGAAGCUGCGGCAGCGACGCUUAUGCGUUGUUGGGUAGGGGAGCGUUCUGUAAGCCUGCGAAGGUGUGCUGUGAGGCAUGCUGGAGGUAUCAGAAGUGCGAAUGCUGACAUAAGUAACGAUAAAGCGGGUGAAAAGCCCGCUCGCCGGAAGACCAAGGGUUCCUGUCCAACGUUAAUCGGGGCAGGGUGAGUCGACCCCUAAGGCGAGGCCGAAAGGCGUAGUCGAUGGGAAACAGGUUAAUAUUCCUGUACUUGGUGUUACUGCGAAGGGGGGACGGAGAAGGCUAUGUUGGCCGGGCGACGGUUGUCCCGGUUUAAGCGUGUAGGCUGGUUUUCCAGGCAAAUCCGGAAAAUCAAGGCUGAGGCGUGAUGACGAGGCACUACGGUGCUGAAGCAACAAAUGCCCUGCUUCCAGGAAAAGCCUCUAAGCAUCAGGUAACAUCAAAUCGUACCCCAAACCGACACAGGUGGUCAGGUAGAGAAUACCAAGGCGCUUGAGAGAACUCGGGUGAAGGAACUAGGCAAAAUGGUGCCGUAACUUCGGGAGAAGGCACGCUGAUAUGUAGGUGAAGCGACUUGCUCGUGGAGCUGAAAUCAGUCGAAGAUACCAGCUGGCUGCAACUGUUUAUUAAAAACACAGCACUGUGCAAACACGAAAGUGGACGUAUACGGUGUGACGCCUGCCCGGUGCCGGAAGGUUAAUUGAUGGGGUUAGCGGUAACGCGAAGCUCUUGAUCGAAGCCCCGGUAAACGGCGGCCGUAACUAUAACGGUCCUAAGGUAGCGAAAUUCCUUGUCGGGUAAGUUCCGACCUGCACGAAUGGCGUAAUGAUGGCCAGGCUGUCUCCACCCGAGACUCAGUGAAAUUGAACUCGCUGUGAAGAUGCAGUGUACCCGCGGCAAGACGGAAAGACCCCGUGAACCUUUACUAUAGCUUGACACUGAACAUUGAGCCUUGAUGUGUAGGAUAGGUGGGAGGCUUUGAAGUGUGGACGCCAGUCUGCAUGGAGCCGACCUUGAAAUACCACCCUUUAAUGUUUGAUGUUCUAACGUUGGCCCCUGAUCGGGGUUGCGGACAGUGUCUGGUGGGUAGUUUGACUGGGGCGGUCUCCUCCUAAAGAGUAACGGAGGAGCACGAAGGUUGGCUAAUCCUGGUCGGACAUCAGGAGGUUAGUGCAAUGGCAUAAGCCAGCUUGACUGCGAGCGUGACGGCGCGAGCAGGUGCGAAAGCAGGUCAUAGUGAUCCGGUGGUUCUGAAUGGAAGGGCCAUCGCUCAACGGAUAAAAGGUACUCCGGGGAUAACAGGCUGAUACCGCCCAAGAGUUCAUAUCGACGGCGGUGUUUGGCACCUCGAUGUCGGCUCAUCACAUCCUGGGGCUGAAGUAGGUCCCAAGGGUAUGGCUGUUCGCCAUUUAAAGUGGUACGCGAGCUGGGUUUAGAACGUCGUGAGACAGUUCGGUCCCUAUCUGCCGUGGGCGCUGGAGAACUGAGGGGGGCUGCUCCUAGUACGAGAGGACCGGAGUGGACGCAUCACUGGUGUUCGGGUUGUCAUGCCAAUGGCACUGCCCGGUAGCUAAAUGCGGAAGAGAUAAGUGCUGAAAGCAUCUAAGCACGAAACUUGCCCCGAGAUGAGUUCUCCCUGAGACUUUAAGUCUCCUGAAGGAACGUUGAAGACGACGACGUUGAUAGGCCGGGUGUGUAAGCGCAGCGAUGCGUUGAGCUAACCGGUACUAAUGAACCGUGAGGCUUAACCUU